rnacentral:lncRNA from 13 species
AUGAGCAUUAAAAAGGAGAGAGAGAGGGAGAAGUAUCUCUUGAGAAAGUACAUCCUAUUCCCAAGUGUGAAACCCUUUGUUAUACAAGACGUGCCACAAGAAAUGAGAGUAAAAGGUAAGAAACCCAAGGAAAAGUUCCAAAAAUUGCAAACUGACAGUAUGCAAGAAGAGUUUGCCUCAUUAGCAUAUUUAAUUAGCUUUUUGAUGUUGACUAACAUACUGCGAUUUGGGAAUUGGUUGCUGUGAUGAAUUAUGGCCCCCAAAGAUGUCUGUAUCCUAACUGCCAACACCUGAAAAUGUUGCCUUAUAUGGCAAUAGGGAUUUUGCAGAUAUGAUUGAGUUAAGGAUUUUAAGAUAGGAAGAUCAUCCUGGAUUAUCAGGGUGGGUCUGAAGUAAUCAUAAUGGUCCUUAUGAGAGAUGCCAGAGGAGUCAGAGUCAGACAGAAGGAGAUGUGAAAACUGAGGCAGAGGGAUGGAGAAAACUUUGAAUAAGUUAUCCUCCUGGCUUUGAAGAUACAAGAAGGGAGCCAUGAUUCAAAUGAUGUAGAUAGCCCUAGGAAUAUGGCAAAGACAAGAAAAUGGAUUCUUCCCUGAAUCCUCUGGAAGGAACUAUACUGCAUACUCAUUUUAGACUUCUGACCUCUAGAACUGUAAGAGAAUGUAUUUGUGUUGUAUUCAGUUGCUAAAAUGUGGAAUUUGUUAUAGCAUCAAUAGCAAACUAAUACAGUUGUCUAUAAUUCAUCAAGCUUAGAAGAUUUCAGAUACAGAUUCAGACUUUUUUAUUUUUGCUUCUGUUGAGAACUGGAAAAUUUAAUGAGGGCUGAGUAUCGCCACCUCCUUCUGUCAAUGACUGGUUAAAGCUGUUCCCUUUAGAGGGUGUACGUUCUCUAGUCUACCAAUGCUUUCAGACUAUGUAUUUUUUUUCUUUGAAAUCUCUGGUAGACAUUUGAAUUUGUGACUCCUGCUAUGUGGUCUUAUACUUUGCAUUUUACUUAAUAUUCAUCUCAUACUUAGCUUUUUAAAGAAUUAUAUCUAAUUAUCCAAUUUUUACAAAUGGCAUUCUAUUAAACUAUUUGUAUCAGGCUAUUCUCACAUUGCUAUAAAUAAAUACCAGAGACUGGGUAAUUUAAAAAGAAAA